UUUUUGGCGAAGCAUCGAGUGGUCACGACGACGAGAGGGUCAAUUUGUCGAGUUCUUCUUGUUCGUAAGGCGUUCAUGACGUGGAUGCGACGGAGGAGUUUGUGUGGAGGCAACAAGAAGACAUGAGGGCUUGAGGCUACCACCAAAGGUGAAGACAUGGCUCGCGAGAAAGGAGCGGAGAAAUAAGAGAUCGGGUUUUUAAGGCACAAGGAUAUUUUCAUCAGUUUGUAAAUUUUUUGCUUAAAUCUGUAGAAAUAAAAAGGGUGGUCUAUUUUUGCAAACACACAAAACUAGUGGAUUUUUAUUUUUAUUAUUAUUAUUAUUUGCCAAGAGUCAUGUAUUUGAGAUGAUGAUAAUACGUAGGAUGGUAACUGAUAUAAUUUUUAAUGCGGAAAGGCUAUUAAGACAAGAGCUAAAGUGUAAGAGAGGUUUUUAUAAUUUGUUUGGUUUUUCAAAAAAAUGUGAAAUUUUUUUAAAAAAAAUUAUAGAAAACUCCGUUCUCAAUUUUUAGCCUGCUUGAUUUGCAAGAAAAAAUAUUUUUAUUUAUUUAUUUUUCCAUAUUUUAAGAAAAAAUUAGCAUUUUUUAUUUUUCAAUAUUUUUAAAAAUAAAAAAUACAUUUUUUUGAAAAAUAAGAUAAAAUAUUUUUUUAUAAAAUAUUUUUUUAGAACUAAACGAAAAUUUAAAAAAUCAAAAUUUUUUCCUUAAAUUUUGUUUUAAAACACUACUCUUGAAAACCAAUCAACCUCUUAUUAAAAAAUAAAAUUAAUUAUAUACAGUUUUCUAUAAAUAUACUGAAUAAUAAAUAUAUUUUAUAUAUACCUCGAAUCAAAUCAAAAUCUAUUAACCUAUAUGAAUUCCCAAUAUUUUUUGCCACGUGGCAAGUUUUCUUUCAACCUCACUAGCCCUUUUUUUGAACUCACAUUUGUUCUUGGCUCUUCCCCUCCCCUCUUAUUUAUUCAAUAACAUGUAAUCAAUGUGCUCUUUAAUUUAUAUGUUACUUAUUUUUCUCUUCAAUAUUAGUCAUUUCUUCUCCCUCAACUCUCUUUUCAACGCCAAACCCUUCACCCCCCAAUCCUUUAAAAUCACGAAAAUUAAUUAAUCGAAAAUGCAACAUUUAAUUAUAGGCACUAUAUUCUACCAAUAAAUAGGCUUUGUAACUUCAAUCUAUCCCACGUCCAUUAAUCCCCCACCCCCCUCUCUUUUCCAUGGCCUCUUAUUUUUCAUGCAAAAAAAAAAUAUCAUCAUCUUAUUUUUCACCAAACACUCAUCUUGCUCUCUCUCUUUUAUCGUGUUAAUGAAGAUGAUGAGGACGAUGAAGAAGAAGAAGAAGAGCAUGCGAAGAAAGUUGUCUCCUUCGAGAAGUAUUUUUUCGCAAAAUCGAGUCGCGGCUCAUAUAAGUGCCCACUAGGUCGAUUUAGCCGCGCUGGAGCUAGGUUUUUUUUUUUAUCUUUCACAACAGAAUGUUUAAGAGGCAUAUAAUAUGAUAAAAUUAUAUGUUUCUUACUGUAUUUCGAAGAUUUUAAAAAAAUUAUAUAAACUUCUAGCUAUAAUUUUAUUUUCUUAGUAGUUGAAUUUAGUAAUACAAAUUAACUAUAUUUAACAUGGGUAUAGCUUCUUAUACAUCAAUAAGUUGUAAAUAUAAGUUUUAUUAAAAUUUUAAAAUUUUGUUUCUAUCAUCUACGCGCUGCAUCGCGCGGGUCUCUACACUAGUAAAUAUAUAAAGUUCAAAUCAAAAUAUAUAUUUCUUAUAUGGCCUUGGAACCAAACCAAAACAAAUAGAUAAAGUUCAAGCCAAAAUAUAUAUUCUUAUAUGGCCCGGAAGCCAAACCAAAACAAAUAUAUUAGUGUCUCUGUACUAACAAUUUUUUAUACCCACAAGUAGGGGUGGUAAUUCAGCUAGUCAUUGGCGAGCCGCUCAUGUUCGGUUCCAAAUGAGCUUGAGAUCGAAUCACUCGUUUAGUAAAUAAGCCGAACACGAGUUGAAAUUUUUAGCUCGUUUAAUAAAUGAGCGAAACACGAGUUGGGUCAGUUCGCUCGUGUUCGGCUUGAUAACAGCUCGAAUAUAUAUAUUUUAUAUUUAUAUAUAUAAAUUAAUAAUUAUUUAUGCAUAUAAUAUAAAUUUUUAUUAUUUAAUUUUUAGCCUAAUCUAAAUAUAAAGUCCAACUCAAUUAUAAAAUAAUUUAUUUGUAUAUAAAAUUGUAAUCAUUAAAUUAAAAUAUAAUAGCUAAAAUCUUAUAAAUUUAUUUAUUUUCUAUAUAUAUAUUUUUUUAUUUUUUAAAUUUUUAUUUAUAAAUCAGCUCGUAUUGAAAUUAUUAAUAAAUGAACCGAAUAUUUUGGCCCGAUACUUUACCCACACA
rnacentral:lncRNA from 1 species